GAUGAAGAACGCAGUGAAAUGCGAUAAGUAAUGUGAAUUGCAGAAUUCAGUGAAUCAUCGAAUCUUUGAACGCACAUUGCGCCCCUUGGUAUUCCGAGGGGCAUGCCUAUUCGAGCGUCAUUAUCACCCCUCAAGCUCCGGCUUGGUGUUGAGGCCUGCUGUAAAGGCACCCUCUAAAAUCAGUGGCAGUGCUGUCAGGCUCUAAGCGUAGUAAUUCUCUCGCUACAGGGUCCCGGUGGACACUCGCCAGAACCCCCCCAUUUUUUAAUGAUUGACCUCGGAUUAGGUAGGGAUACCCGCUGAACUUAAGCAUAUCAAUAAGCGGAGGA
rnacentral:misc_RNA from 1 species